rnacentral:lncRNA from 1 species
CUAACGCUGGUGGUACAAUAAAGUUGACAACAAAGCAAAAGUUGUCAUAUUUUUUUCAUUCAUAACGUACCUUGCAAUCUUUCCUCUGUCACCGUCGAGCUCAAAGUGAAAAUACGACGCAACACAAUCUUAGCUUGCAUCACGUGACCGAUACCGAAACUGGGAAAUACAUGUAUUAGGGGGAAGUAAUAUUCUAAGAUGGGCUAGGGGAUUUUGCCAAUAGAGGGCUUCGUGUGAAAACUAGUUAUUUUACAUACCACUUGGUGCGCUGUAUUCCCAUUCACAAAAUGAUGACGUAGACAUAUUAAGCUGAAAAUAGCGGUAAACUUGACAGCAAUGAAGGUCCUAUUUGAAUUUAUUAUAUGAUAUUUACGUGUUUGAAUAAUGCAUAUUAUACAUUUUAAAGCUAUCAAGAUGUUUCCAAGUUCUUUAAGAGAAAAUGAAUUAUUUGGUCAUAUGAGGUUGAAACAUAAUCAUUUAUACUAUUCUUUUUACAGGUGUUUCAUUCCAUGUGAGCCUUCAUGUAAUGUUCAGGAUUGUAUAUGAUGGAGACAUGACUUAUUUUUCUAAGGUUACCCAUAUUAUCUUUGAAUAGUGAUAUAAAAAGACCUGAGAAUAUUAUGUGACAGAGUUUGCAUUAGAUGAGGACACGUACUAUGCUGUCUUGGUAAACAUUCAAUCCAUUAUAUGGGACUCUCUUAGAUUUAAAUUUUGGAUUUGGGUUGUUUUUACUAAAUUGAUUGAAGGCAGUUUAUCUCUGCAAUAACUGUAACUCUGCUAUAAGAUAUGCUUGACAUAAGGCAAUAACAAAUCUAUAUAAUUUUAAAAUAAUCCUGUUUUAAUAAAAGAAAUCGCUACAUUUGUUUGUGUAUUAAAAUAAGUUAAAAGACAUAAUUUGGAGAAUUUUAGUAUUCUGUAUUAGAUCUGAUAUUUGACUUGUUCUCCACCCAACACCAAUUUUUGUAUUUUGUUAAACAUGAAGACAUAUUGUACUGACUAGGACUUAUUAUUUUUUUCACUUGUCUAUUGUGCUUAGAAUUGUGGAAGAAAUGAGGGUAAAUUCACCUUUGUCAAUUCCCUUGGAGAGACUGACCAAGAAAAGGACAUUAUCACAAGAAACAUGGGCAACUUCUCCAGAAGAAAAAAAAAGGGGGCCAGUUUGUCACCAUUGAACAUGAAAAACAACUAGAUGGCUACACUUGUCAGCUGUGGUGUAUACAUGCAGUGGAGUACCUGUUGGAAUAUGGCUUGGGCAAAUUAACAAAGAUGUGCCAUCCAGACUUUUUAAUAGGCUAAAUGUAGCCAUUCUGGUUUUAAGAAAUAUUGUUGUUGCAGACAAAAGCCACUUCAAAAUAAUACCUAUCGGCAUAAGAGCAGAUUAAUUUUGUCAUAAUGCAACACUUGUGAC